AAAACCCGGAAGGACCCCGCCGAAGGUUUUCUCCGGUUCGGGAGAGAGACGGAGUCCCGCUCUGUCACGCAGGCUGCCAGGCUGGCGUACAGUGGCGCAAUCUCAGCUCGCUGCAACCUCCACCUCCUGGGUUCAAGCGAUUUUCUUGCCUCUGCCUCCUGAGUAGCUGGGAUUACUGGCACACACCACCAUGCACAGUUCCUUGUUCAAAAUGCCAAGAACCUGGAUGACUCAUAGUCAAGACCCUCCACCAGUAACAUAUAUUGGCGAGCCAGCCAGGAGCGAAUGGGUCUCAUGAGAUCUGAUGGUUUUGAAAAUGGGAGUUGCCCUGCACAAGCUCUCCUUUUGCCUGCUGCCAUCCACAUAAGAUGUGAUUUGCUCUUCCUUGCCUUCCACCAUGAUUGUGAGGCCUUCCCAGCAUGUGGAAAUGGUCCAGCCUGCAAUAACUGAAGCCCCCAGACCUGGAACCUGAAGAUCCCAUCAGCCACUAAACCUGUGAACCUGUAGAAGACCUGAAGUACCUGUUUAAAAGGCAGCCAAAAGAUAAGUAAAUUCCUAUCAACUUUCCUUGGUGUCCUUCUUGUAUAUUUACUGUAAGCUGGAUAUAAUAGUAGCCAUUUUUAUAUUUUUACAAUUUAAUUGCUUUCUUCCAAAUGGAUUGAAUCACUUCUUUUAAAGUGUUUUAAUUAAUUUUUAUCUAUAGAACAAAAUAACAAAUAAGUAUUUUUUUUUUAUACCAUAAUGGUCACCCACAGCCUGUGUAUACUAAGACCAUGCAUACUGAUAAUCAGCUUUAUUUUACAAAAGAGUUUCGCUUUACCCCUCUGGUAAUUAAUGGAUUCUGGGUAUUUAUUAAAAACUUUAACACAAAGACUGUUAAAUACCACCAGUCCAGCUUUGGCAAGGCACUGUUGGCUUUGUUUAUCUCCAUCAUCAUCCAAACAGACUACCAAUCCUGAUCCCAGCCCAAUCUUGGGCCCUUGAAAAAAUAACUUAACAUCCUAACUACAAGGGAGAAACUCCUUUCAAAUUAAUGAACCUGGCUGACUUAUAUAGCCUUAAAAUUAUGGAAAUGACAAGGGUUACAAUGUCAGAAUGAGCAGUAAACCUUCCCCAGUCCUAUCAGAGCAAACUUUCUGGGGUUGCAUCCCCUCAGAAACCCAUUUGGGGCCCAAUCUCAAUGCACAUAUCAGUGCGCAAAGCACUAAAAUUCCAGGCAACACUUUGUAUUGAGAGAAGCCAAAAUUUUGGUCCCGCCCUGGGACAUCUAAAGUCACCAAUGUAACUACACCAUACAGAUUAAACCCUCACAUGAUCAUGUAAGCUAUGCAGUUACCCAAGCUGCAUCAUUUAGAAAACCUGUACAGUUUUUAUGGAAACCAUCCCUAGUCAAGGACACUUUAAAUAUAUAGUCUAAAUACCGUUAAGGUAGGCCCACUAGCUGUGUUCACAUUUUCCCUUGGCCACCUUACCAGGGACUUUAAUAACUUGGGAAAGUGAAAACAACAAGCUAACCCACAUGUUCACCAUAGAAAACAAUUUUGUCUUGAAAAACAAGGACUCUUUUUCCCGUGUGGGACCAGUUCCUACUUAUGUUUUACCAGCCAAUUGGACUGGAACCUAUACAGUUGUUUAUUUAGCCCCCGAAAUUAAUAUAGCUCCCAACAACCAAUCCUUCAUUAUACUUUUAACUGCAACCACCAGACACAAAUGAGCCAUCCAACUGAUACCACUUUCGGUAGAGCUAGGAAUAACAGCAGGAGUAGGAAUGAGAGUUAGCAGCCUUGCAGUUUCCCUAUCCUAUUACCAAUGCUUGUCCAAGGAUUUUAUGGAAAGCUUAGGUGACAUUGCCCAAAAGUAUCAUCACCUUACAAAAUCAGAUAGAGUCUUUGGCAGUGGUGGCUUUGUAAAAUAGAAGGGGACUGGAUCUCCUAAAUGCUGAAGAAGGUGGCUUAUGUCUUUUUCCUAGAGGAAGAAUGCUGUUUUUAUGUCAACCAAACAGGAUUAGUAAGGGAUGCCACCCAAAAACUAGCCGAUUGGUACCAUAAGAUAUGACAACAGCUGUCUGAGUCAUGGGGCGCCUAGUCAAAAUGCUAAUUUGGGGCUCACAUCUCCUUCCUCUGGCCAGUCCACUAUUAAUUAUUAUACUUGCCUUGGCUUUUGGAUCAUGUUUGUUAAAUCUUUUAACCAGAUUUAUUUCUUCUUGCCUAGAGACCAUUAUGAUAAUGCAGCAGGGCCACCAGUCAGUUUCAGAUAAUGAUGUCAACCCCGGCCACCAAGAAGUAACCUUGUCUCCACUAGACAGAGCAGGUUGCAGGAAUUUAGCCAAUUCAGAGGUCUUGUUCUCCAUAAUUUGGAAUUUUCCUUCGGAUUUGAUCAAGUUGGAUAGAGUUGGUCAAACCCAAUGGGAAAAAGAUGAAAACAACAAGAAACAGAAACAAACAGCAACAACAACAACAACAAAAACAAGAGAAGGUGGUUCAGCCACUAAAUGGUGCUGGGACCUCGCAGUUUGGUGGGAAGGAGGAAGCUUACUCAAGCAAGGAAUAUGAGACAGGCAAAAACCCACGCAUAAGCCAA
rnacentral:lncRNA from 1 species